rnacentral:lncRNA from 1 species
UCUUCAUAAAGAGAUCUGGUAGGGCCUGGAUCUGGGCGAGGUAGGUGCCUUUGUCAUUAUAGCUUAGGCGAAGUGACUGCAUGGUGUUCAUCAUCUUCUAAUUGGAGGCCAUGGUUUGGGCUAGUAUAAUAGGCUCUCGUCGACUUAGGGCAUCGACAACUACAUUCCUCUCCCAAGGUGAUAAAUGAUCUGACAAUCAUAAUCCUUUAGAAGAUCCAUCCAACAUCUUUGUCUCAUGUUUAACUCCUAUUGUGAAAAAUAUAUUUGAGACUCUUAUGGUCAGUGUAGAUUUUAAAGUUUGACCAUACAAACAAUGCUGCCAUAACUUCGGGGCAAAGAUAAUGGCUGCCAGUUCCAGGUCAUGGGUAGGGUAGUUCUACUCAUGGACUUUGAGCUGUUAGGAUCCAAAGGCGACUAAUCUGCCAUGCUGCAUCAAGACACACCCCAAAUUAAUAU